rnacentral:tRNA from 1 species
GUGCUAGUAGCUUAAUUGGCAGAGCAAGGGAUUGUGAUUUCCUAGGUUGUGGGUUCAAAUCCCACCUAGCACC